rnacentral:rRNA from 1 species
UACGAAGGGGGCUAGCGUUGCUCGGAAUGACUGGGCGUAAAGGGCGCGUAGGCGGCUCAUACAGUCAGGCGUGAAAUUCCUGGGCUCAACCUGGGGACUGCGCUUGAGACGUGUGGGCUUGAGUGGGGAAGAGGGUCGUGGAAUUCCCAGUGUAGAGGUGAAAUUCGUAGAUAUUCGGAAGAACACCAGUGGCGAAGGCGACUUACUGGACACAUAUUGACGCUGAGGUGCGAAAGCGUGGGGAGCAAACAGG